UGGUAAAAGUUCCCGAUGCAAAUCGGGACACUUAAGGAUGGGCCUGCGGCCUAUCAGGUAAUUGGUGAGGUAACGGCUCACCAAGCCUAAGACAGGUAGCCGGUCUGAGAGGACGGCCAGCCACACUGGGACUGAGACACGGCCCAGACUCCUACGGGAGGCAGCAGUGGGGAAUCUUCCGCAAUGGGCGAAAGCCUGACGGAGCGACACCGCGUGGGGGACGAAGGUCUUCGGAUCGUAAACCCCUUU
rnacentral:rRNA from 1 species